rnacentral:rRNA from 1 species
AUUGAACGCUGGCGGCAUGCUUUACACAUGCAAGUCGAACGGUAACAGGUUAAGCUGACGAGUGGCGAACGGGUGAGUAACGCAUCGGAACGUGCCCGAUCGUGGGGGAUAACGCAGCGAAAGCUGCGCUAAUACCGCAUACGAUCUGAGGAUGAAAGCGGGGGACCGUAAGGCCUCGCGCGAUCGGAGCGGCCGAUGUCAGAUUAGGUAGUUGGUGGGGUAAAGGCCCACCAAGCCGACGAUCUGUAGCUGGUCUGAGAGGACGACCAGCUACACUGGGACUGAGACACGGCGCAGACUCCUACGGGAGUCAGCAGUGGGGAAUUUUGGACAAUGGGCGAAAGCCUGAUCCAGCAAUGCCGCGUGCAGGAAGAAGGCCUUCGGGUUGUAAACUGCUUUUGUACGGAGCGAAAAGGUCCUUUCUAAUACAAGGGGCUCAUGACGGUACCGUAAGAAUAAGCACCGGCUAACUACGUGCCAGCCGCCGCCGUAAUAC